rnacentral:rRNA from 1 species
AUGAAGAAGAUCUUGUUCAGCAUGUUCUAUUCGAUACUGGUAGGAGAAGAACCCGACUCGGUAUUCUUAAAAAAAGAGGGGAAGCAGAACCAAGUCAAGAUGAUAUGGGUCGCCCCUUCUUCUUGCGCCAAAUAUCUUACCAUUUCCGAAGGAACCGGGGCUACAUUUCUUUUCAAUUUCCAUUCAAGAGUUUCUAUCUGUUUCCACGCCCUUUUCUUGAGACCUCGAAAAAAGAGAGACCCUUUUCCUAACCAUCACUAUCCUUGGUGCCAAGGUAUAAGAGCAUCUCCUCUCCAGCUGUUCGGCGCUCCCCAGGAAUGA